CUAAUCAGAAUCCAUGCCAGAACGCGGUGAUACCACCCGCACGAGGUUACAGAUGGACAAGAAUAGGCUUCGGCUUUGGUGUCUCAGCAGGCGAUUCCUCCACGGCCACGGAAGAGUGGUCUUGGUAUUUCGCGUAUUGUAAUUUCAACACGAGCGGGGUCAAAUCCUUUGCAGACGACUUAGCUGUGCGAAACGGUCCUGUAAGCAGUAGAGUAGCCUUGUUGUUACGAUCUGCUGAGGGUAAGCCGUCCUUCGCCUCGAUUUCCCCAGU
rnacentral:rRNA from 1 species